AUGUCUGCUCACAUCACAGGGUUUAAGAAGCAAGCGGAGAAGGCACCACUGAGUUCAGAGAGCCCUGUGGCUGAGUGUGCUGUUCCUAGGAUGGCUUGGGUCACCACACUGCUGGUUCUGGUAGCCUGUUGGGCAGGUUCCAGCUACCAGUUCACUUUGACUCAGCCACUGAGUAUGUCAGUGACUCCAGGAGAAACUGCCCAACUCGCAUGUGUUCUGAGCAGUGGAGACAGCAUCAGCAGUAGAUACAUACGCUGGUACCAGCAGAAGCAAGGGGAGAAACCAAGAUACCUGCUGUAUUACAAGGAUGACUCUACCCAGGGUAAAGGCUCUGGUGUCCCUGACAGGUUCACUGCCUCUAAAGACACUUCCCGGAACACCUGCUUUUUAACGAUCAGCAGGGCUGAAGCGGAGGAUGAUGCUGAUUACUAUUGCACAGGCUGGGACAGCACAGCUAACCAGUACACAGUGAUACAGCUGCAUUGGGAAAGAGGAACAAAAAUCCCCUUUCACCCAUAG